GAAUUCAUGGCGGGCCCAGGUCACGACCUCUUGGAGGUCGUGGCCCAGGUGUUAUGUGGCGGGCCCAAGCGAAAAACGGCCGAAAGGGGCAUCUUCUGUGUAUUGUGCGGGAGGAUGCCAUGAGAGUAGUUACAGAAACACCGCAGGAAAGCUGCCGAAGGUGGAAUUCUGCCGAUUCCCUUGGAGAAAGUACGAUGACAACCGGAAAGCACGUGGAUCAGGGCUGUGCAACGAUUAAGGUCAGAGAGGCAUCUGUGGCAGCCCGUGUGGGGCGAUAUUCGGAUAUGCAGCGCGCACUUCUUGGGGAACAAAAGGAGCCCCCAUGCAACGAACCCGGCCUAUCUGCCAACGAUAUUUCCGUCGAGUGGCAUACAACAGAGCUCUACGACGAGUCUCGGCAGGCAUGGCGACAGCAGAACAGGCCCAGUCACGGCGAUUUAAAUCUAUGGCGACUCAGACGGACGACACCGCCCAGUGCUACACAGACGGCUCUGCACGAGGCUGCACUUUUCCUGUCAGUGACAUCCGGUGGCUUGGCAUCGACCCAGGUACAGUGUUGCUGAAACUGUACCAUUUUGCUACAAUCAGCAUCUAGCUGGGUCAAGCGUCAUAAAGCGUACAUUUGAAAAACCGGAGCUUAUCUCGUAAGCCGCAAACCACCCAAAAAGUUUUGUGUGUGGCGCCGUGGGUCAUCAACGAUACUUCUGUCUCCGAAGCGUUUCUGGAAGAUGGCAGCAUGGCCACACGACGAAUGGAAAGAGGUCUUUUUGCGUUUCCUUUUGCAUUACUUGUUUUGUUUGUUCUUUCUUCAGCUUUUUCUAUGUUUGUAAGAAACACUAAAGCUUGAGAUAGAAGGAA
rnacentral:misc_RNA from 1 species